rnacentral:lncRNA from 1 species
GGACGGCAGACGUUCCAACGCUUCGAUAAGUUCAAUGACAAAUACAAUCCGGUGGGUGCGAGUGAGCUUCGGGACCUCUACCUAAAAACAGACAACUACAUUAACGGAGAGUAUUUUGCCACUAUCAUCAAGGAGGUGGGUGCAGACCUGGUGGACGCCAAGUAUCAGCAUGCGGAGCCCCGCUUGUCCAUCUACGGUCGCAGUCCAGAUGAGUGGAGCAAACUCUCCUCUUGGUUUGUCGGCAACCGUAUUUAUUGCCCCAACAUGACAUGGAUGAUCCAAGUCCCCAGGAUCUAGGAACGAGGCAUGAAUACAUUUUUGUUUCGCCCCCAUUGUGGUGAGGCUGGGGCUCUCACUCACCUCAUGACAGCCUUUAUGAUAGCGGACAAUAUUUCGCACGGCCUGAACUUAAAGAAGCCCUGCAGAACUGUCUUCAUAGACCAGGCUAAAUUCAACUGGCAGAAAGAUCUACUUACCUCUAUGUCCCGAGUGAUGGGAUUACAAGGGAAUCUUUACUUUCUUCGGUGUUUUGAGUGAUGGGGAAAAGUUCAAGACAGAGUUUCUUUGUGUAUCUCUGUAGACCAGGCUGGCCUUCAGCUCCAAGAUCCACCUGCCUCUGCCUCCUAAGUGCUGGGAUUGAAGGUACAUGUCAUGAUUCUAUAUUAGAGCCUGUAACAGAUGAACCACAACAUCCAUUU